rnacentral:misc_RNA from 1 species
GAAAUGCGAAAAGUAAUGUAAUUGCAGAAUUCCGUGAAUCAUUAAAUCUUUGAACGCAAAUUGCACCCCUUGGUAUUCCGAGGAGUACACUUGCUUGAGGGUCAGUUAAAAAAAAAAAAAUCAUUACAUUUUUUGGUGUUGCGGAUCUGGGCUAUUCAGUUUUAAGUCGGUUACUAAAAUUAAGGAUUAUAUAAUGUGAUAUGUACUAAGAUAAAGUCUUAAUCAUUAAGCUUUAUUACAUUACCAACUAUUAUGUUUAGUAGGAGUGUAUAAUUUUUGAAAUGACCUCAAGUCAAGUGAGAAUAUUCGCUGAACUUAA